GAUGAACUAAUUAUGUUUGUAAUGGGAGAGGCUAAGCACAAAGGAGUAGGAUCUCUUCAAUAACUGCAGAGAAGCUGUACUGAGUGAUCAACUGUGGACUAUUGUUCUGGGCUUUCAAGUGUUUGGCAGUAGAUGGCAGAUGAUAUUGAUAGUGAAGAAGAAGAAAGGAAUAUGGAUGAUGAAUUUCAAUGGCUCUUGAAGGCUGAGGUACAUGGUGUACUCAGGCAACUCAAUGCAAUUCUAGAAGAUAGCGGCAGAAGGUUUAACAUCCCUGGUACUGGUGAGUGAAAUUUAUCAUUGCAAAAUAAAAAAAUUGUUAAGUCUCAACACUGACCUGCAGCUAAACACCCCAUGCCCUUCCCCUUUGUCUUUUCUCCAUUUCUAUGUCCCUUGUUCUGUCCUUGUCUCAAUCCUUCUGUACCUGUACCCCUUCUCUUUCCUGCUUCACAUUUGGUCACUUAUCUCCUUUCAUGUACAUCUUCUGUUUCCCCUCUCUUUCCUACCCAUUGCCUUUCCUCUUUCCCCUUUUUUUUCUUCUUCUUUAGUUUUCUUCAUCCGUUUUCCAACCCCCUGUCCCCCUCCUGGGUCUCCUUCACCCCCAAUGACACUCUCCUCCGCUGCCCUUGCCCAAGUUUAAUCCCAUUCUCCCUGCCCUCUUCUUGUUCCCCUUCCUCACCAUCUUCUGAUUUCCCCUUAUAUCUUUUCCACUCUACACCUUCAACUUUAUCCUCCCAUCUAAUCUCCCCCCCCCCUCCUCCCCCUACAUCCUUUUCACUCUUUUUCCGCUUUUAUACAUUCUGCACCCAAACAUACAGUACUUGUACAUAUAUUUUUCUUGUACACACUGUAUACUUCGUUGUGUCAGUGUAAAAAUGCCCUUAACACCACACUUAUGUGCAUGGGCGCAAAAAUGCCCUUAACAGCACGCAUAAUGGCAUUUUGAAAGGGUGUUUCUGCACCGAUGGGGUGCGCAAAAAUGUUUUGCUAGGGGCGUUCCUGCACUGACACUACUAAUUGUACAUCAUGAUUGUAUCCAUCCAAUUUUAGCUCCUGAAAACUCUAUUCAACUAAUGUGUGUACUUCAACUUGAAAAGGACUUUAUUAAUACUUUGACCUUCAUCAGAAACUAGCUGGGUGUUCAUGUAUUCAUGAGAAAGAUUAUUUGUGAUAUUCUGAAUCUCCAUUUCCUAUUCACCUGUUCACAUUUAUUCAUAUAAAUUGUAUUGUGGUGGGUAGUGAAUUUGAUUGCCUUCCUUUGUAUUUCUACUCGUGAUGUAUGGGUUUUCUUUUGACGAAGGACAUUGCAGUAUUGGCAUCAUGAAAAUUGCAUGAGUCGAUUUUGACAAAUGGUCCCUCAAGUGACAAAAAUGAAAUAUUGAUGAUAAAUAAAUUAUGAAGGGAAAGAAUUUCAUGCAGUAUGAUCCCAUUGUAGCUUUCCAUCUUAAAGAGUUCUUAGCUAUGAUUAAGCAUUAAACACUCAAGAUACAUGCUUGAUGUAUUAUUAAUAUUAUAUGUAAAUGUUAGGGGUUUAAUUUCAAAAGGUUGAUGAACUCAUAUCAGACUGUUUUUCAGGGAGGAAAAUGUAUAAUCUUUGUAUAAACCAUACAUUUUGAGACCAACCAUGAGAUACAUGUAACACACUUUUUACUGGAUCACUUUACCAUAGAUACCUUAACUUAACAUGGUAAAUAAAAUGUAUUUUCCCUAAACAACAAAGGAGAAAGUACCUUUAAUAGUUCUAAUGUUUUCAUAGUACACAUUCAGAUUUAAUUAGGUGAUUAAGUAUAGAUUGUAGGUGGUAAAUUUUAAUCAGUUUGUUUCAUGGCAGCCCAACCGCAAAAUGACUUCAUAAUUGGUUCGCAAAUCAAAUGAUUUCGCUUGUCUGUAUGUAUUACAUGUCCAUUUCACAACCACACCUACAUGUAUACAUGUAUGCUCUCUAGAAAAAAGGAUACAAGAUGAAGAGGUUCAUAUGUAAAACAUACUUUGUUCCUGUGUUCCUCCUGCAUUUGCUUAUUACUAUGAAAGAACAUCCUGGCCUCCUUGGCUCAAAGAAAUAAAACACCCAAAUGUCACAAUAACAAACUUCUCGGCAAAGCCAAGUCCUGAGUAUAUUGUAUUUUGCUGUAUUAUACCAUUCUUAUUGUACUGUACUUUUAUGGUGGUAUUUGAACAUGAAAUUUUUGAUUUCUUGUUACAGCUGAAUAUACAUGUAAUAUCUACAUGUAUAAAUGUAUAUACAAGCAUGUCUUGGCUGGGCUGCUAAAACCUCAUAUCUC